GCUACGAGUGGCUGCAGUGAGGAAUAUUGGUCAAUGGGCGCGAGCCUGAACCAGCCAAGUCGCGUGAGGGAAGACGGUCCUAUGGAUUGUCAACCUCUUUUGUCGGGGCGCAAAAGACGCCACGCGUGGCGUUCCGAGAGUACCCGAAGAAAAAGCAUCGGCUAACUCCGUGCCAGCAGCCGCGGUAAUACGGAGGAUGCGAGCGUAUCCGGAUUUAUUGGGGUGAAAGGGUGCGCAGGCGGCAGAUCAAGUCAGCGGUAAAAUUUAGAGGGUCAACCUCUUCGAGCCGUUGAAACUGGUUUUAUUGAGGGAGUGAGAAGUAUGCGGAAUGCGUGGUGUAGCGGUGAAAUGCAUAGAUAGCACGCAGAACUCCGAUUGCGAAGGCAGCAUACCGGCGCUCAACUGACGCUCAUGCACGAAAGUGUGGGUAUCGAACAGGAUUAGAUACCCCAGUAGUC
rnacentral:rRNA from 1 species